rnacentral:lncRNA from 1 species
AUCACACUAAAAAUAGAUUUGGUCACACUUGAUUGUCGUCACCACCACCACUACUUUUCCCAACAAUGUCAAAAACUAAAUGCAUAUCACCUCAUCACAACCACAUACACCACCAGCAAUAGAACCAUCGUCGCCUAUACUAUCAUUAACAACCAACACAGGUCUCCGCAAAGUCGUAUGACCAUGUAUGGGGGUUGACAUCUGCCCAGUGCUAAAAGGUCCCCAAAACUUUAGCUAAACAAGGGAUCUGGUAAAAGAUUACCCCUACUUCAUCCUUGCAGCUAGAUCAAAAAAUACUCUUGGUUCAUCCCAAAAAAAAGCCCAAAUCAUUCUUUCCUUCAUCCUUCAGCAUAACAAAAAAUACCAAGAUACACAACAAUCUUCUUAAAAUACCCUUCACCGUUGCACUCAGUGUGCUCAGCCCAAAAUCUGACACCUUUAGAAUUCUAUUCUCAUCUAGCAACAGAUUUUCUGGUCUCAAAUCAUGGUUGUAAACAUAGAUCUAAGGUACCAACGAUUGACAAAUCCAUGAUGUUAAACAUGAAAAUGACACAAUGCUUGGGCAACCACACCGGGUCUCGUAUCACUCACAUCAUUAUCCACACUCCUGCUACCACUUGCCGAGCUACUUUACGACGGAUAUGAAGAUUGCUCAUCAACAAACACCACAUCAAACACAAGGCGACACUGCAGAUUAGUUGACAGCGCUC